UACGUAGGGGCCUAGCGUUGUCCGGAUUUAUUGGGCGUAAAGAGCUCGUAGGCGGUUCGGCAAGUCAGCUGUGAAAUCUCCACGCUUAACGUGGAGGGGUCAGCUGAUACUGCCGUGACUCGAGUCCGGUAGGGGAGUGUGGAAUUCCCGGUGUAGCGGUGAAAUGCGCAGAUAUCGGGAGGAACACCGGUGGCGAAGGCGGCUAUCUGGACCGACAUUGACGCUGAGGCGCGAAAGCGUGGGGAGCAAACAGG
rnacentral:rRNA from 1 species